AUACGUAGGGUGCAAGCGUUAAUCGGAAUUACUGGGCGUAAAGCGUGCGCAGGCGGUUGUGCAAGACCGAUGUGAAAUCCCCGGGCUUAACCUGGGAAUGGCAUUGGGGACUGCACGGCUAGAGUGUGUCAGAGGGGGGUAGAAUUCCACGUGUAGCAGUGAAAGGCGUAGAGAUGUGGAGGAAUACCUAUGGCGAAGGCAGCCCCCUGCGAUAACACUGACGCUCAUGCACUAAAGCGUGUGGAGCAAACAGGAUUAGAUUCCCUGGUAGUCCACGCCCUAAACGAUGUCAACUAGUUGUCGGGUCUUAAUUGACUUGGUAACGCAGCUAACGCGUGAAGUUGACCGCCUGGGGAGUACGGUCGCAAGAUUAAAACUCAAAUGAAUUGACGGGG
rnacentral:rRNA from 1 species